UACGUAGGGGGCAAGCGUUGUCCGGAAUCAUUGGGCGUAAAGAGCGUGUAGGCGGCCCGGUAAGUCCGCUGUGAAAGUCCAGGGCUCAACCCUGGGAUGCCGGUGGAUACUGUCGGGCUCGAGUCCGGAAGAGGAGUGUGGAAUUCCUGGUGUAGCGGUGAAAUGCGCAGAUAUCAGGAGGAACACCAAUGGCGAAGGCAGCACUCUGGGACGUGACUGACGCUGAGACGCGAAAGCUAGGGGAGCAAACAGG
rnacentral:rRNA from 1 species